GAGCUGAUGAUAACCCUCCUUUAUCAUCAGCUCCUACAGCAAAGGCAGAGAGGCCCUGGAACCGUUACAGAUCCCUGCUCCAACAAGAGUGGCAAUUCCAACAACAACAAAUCACACAAUAUACGAACUCUACAACUGUCAGGUUAAAAAACAUCAUCAUGUAAAGAAAACUAAAGUGUCAUGUGACUCUCUUUGACCUUUGUGGAAAUUGUUUCAUCCUUGCUACAGGAAGAAAAUCAGCAUUUAGCAUGGCUGAGAUGAGGACAUUGAGGUGCAGUUUGGUCAAGAGACUUACUUGCUCAAGAUCUCCCAAGUCGCUUGCAUCAACUUGCUGAUCAUGUGAGUGAGGCACCCUACGAGUGGAUAUGCCACCUCCCAUCAAGUCUUCAGAUGAAAGCAGCCUUAGUGGACAACUUGACUGCAACCUCAUGAAAGAUUUUGAAUUCGAACAGUUCAGCUAAGCUGCUUCCAAACUUCUCACCCACAGAAACCGUGAGAGAUUCUAAAUAUUUACUGUUUUGGUCACUAAGUUUUCCAAUAAUUUGUUAUGUAGCAAUGGAUGGUAACUACAGGCAGGCGGUGAGUCUAGAACAAAGUGAGCUUUGGAGGAAUGCUGAGAAUUAGGUUAGAGAGGGAGCACAUGUUAAUAUCAUAUACGGCUUUGUAGUUUAUGAUAAGGAAUUUGAAUUUAUUCUGAAUCUGAUGGAAAAUCAUUGAAGGAUUUUGCUCACAGAGGCAGCAUUAUGUUUUUAAAAUAUCAUCUAGACCACUGAAUAGACAACCAAACAUGGGCACAAGAGCACAGGCAGGGAGACCUAUUAGGUAUCUAUGUGGUUUAUCCAUGUAAAAUGUGGUAGUAGCAUGGACUUUUCAGGCUCUGUUUGAAUGGUUCAAUCAAUGGAAUUUUCUGAUAGAUUGGGUGUGAGAUUUGAGAAAGUAAAAAGUCAAGGUGAAUUCAAGUUUUUUUUUUUUUUUUUUUAAUAUCAGAAACUGGGAGGAAAAGAUGUCUUUUGUGGAGGUGUGGGUCAACAGUGGUGUUGACCACUGGUGGUAGUAGGGGCAGAUUUGAAGGUUAGAGAAUGCCGUAUUUAGAGAUCAGUAAGAGGAAGAGGAGCCAUCCAUGAAGACUGAGAAGGAAUAUCCAGGGAGGUAGGAAGAAAAUCAGGAGAGUGCACAGAUCUAGGAGCCAUGGUAAGAAAGGGCUUAAAGAAGGAGGAGUAAAUAACUAGAUGAGAGUGUUUUAGUAAGAUGAGCUAUGAAAACUAAGCCCUGAAUUUGGCAUAGUGAGGAUUGUUGCUAAACUUAGGAACAACAAACCAUCUUGCAGAUACACUUAUAAAUUCAUUAACCACAAAGCAUAUUUUGCUAGGUCUUCUUUUCUAUGCUAUACGAAAACAAAUGCAGCCUCAACUAUUUGUCCCUCAUCUGUCAAGUUUACAUAGUGAUCUUCAUUUUGUGAAUCUCCUUCAUAUCAACUGAUUUAUCAAUGGCACCUGAAUCUUCACCCUUGGAGAACUGUAGUUACUAAAAACCUGUCUUGCAUUGAAAGUUAAGAAUCUAAGUGUCAAUUUUUGCUUUUGUUGCAAUGCUUUUGGG